rnacentral:lncRNA from 1 species
ACAAACUUUGAACUCCCACUCUCUCUCUCUCUCUCUCUCUCUCUAAACAAACCAGCAGUCACUACCAUCAAAUCCACCACCACCCACUAACAACAACCACCACCAGAUCUAAAGCGUGUCCCUGUUUUCAACCAUCACCAGCCGCUGCCACCGUCACCUCCUGCUACUAAGCACCCACACCCUCUCUCUAAAUCCGGCGCCCACACCACCGAAAAGCCUCUGAGACUGAAGAGAUUCCAAUCGACUAUUCUGGAUGUUGAAGCACAAUGACAUUCUCAAUAACCAUAUUAUUUGACAUAGUACGGAAUGUUGCGAUUGGAAUAAACAGAAAAGGUUCUUUCUUCAUUGUUUGAAUAUCAUGGGAAUUAAAGGGAGUUGUGAUUUCAAGUGAGACUCGAGAUCUAUUGUUGUCAAGCGACAGAAAGAUUGCUCUCUUUCUCUGUCUUUACAUGUGAUUCAGUUCCUUAAUUUGCUUGAUUAUUUUAUCUGGUUUCUUUUCUUUUUUGAUUCUGAUAUCUUCUUCAUUUGUUGUAAAUCUAACCUCUCUAGGUCCUUAAUUUGCUUGAUUAUUUUCUCUGGUUUCUUUUCUUUUCUGAUUCUGAUUUCUUCUUCAUUUGUUGCAAAUCUGACCCUCUCUGAUUGUAAGAUUAUAAAAAUUAUUGUUUUCAUAAGAUUGUAAAUGCUAUUUUCUUUUAUUUACACUAUAAAUAAUUAAGUAAAAAGAUUAAAAAGCCCUUAAGUGAAUAGACUUAACUGAAAAUUUUAACCAGGUUAGUGCUAAAAGGCGAAAGACGUAAUGAGUUUUCCAAAUAAAGGAUUGUGACUGUAAUUACUGAAGUUAAAUGGCAUCCAUUUCAAUUCGAUAUAAACAUAAACGAUGAAAAGUGUAAUUACCCCUUUUUUAUUAUAACAACUUCUACCUGUAUUUAUAUGCAAAAAAUUAGAUAAAAACGAAAUUUUUACAUGUAAAGGAUAAGUAAAUCACAUGUUGGUGAUUAAACAAGGAAUUUUUGAAAUAAGACCCUAUGGUGUAAACCGUGAUGGGUCGUGUGGGUAAGAUUGUAAGUAACCACCUUUUACAAAAAACAAUACAUGGUUAAAUUGAGAUGCCUAACGGGUAGGCUAAGAAUGGCUCAAAUGGAAAACCGGGUCAAACGGGUUAAAUGGCGAUGUUAUCACCAUUUAAAUAUGAUAUAUAAUGCUUUUUCUUGUUAAGUCAUAUAUUUACAGGUAAUCAUAAUGUACGGGCAUGCAUUGCCAUGAAUUAAUAAAAUGGAUCGCAAGGUAUUGCUAAUGAGUAUUGCUUCGACUAGCGUCAGGUAUGUGUAAUGGAUCAUACACGGGUAAGGUGCACAAUUAGCAAAGUGCACAGGUCAGUGCACAGAUCAGUGCACAUUGAACAACUUAGCUAAGUGCACAGCUCAGUGCAUAGUUUAACAAAAUGCACAGUACACAGUUAGCAAAGUGAAAUGGCCAGUGCAUAGUGCACAGUUUAGCAUAGUGCACAUGUCAGUGUACAACAUAGCAUAGUGCACAGGUCAGUGCACAGUGUAUAACUUAGCAAAGCACACAUGUCAAUGAACAGCUUAGCAAAGUGCACAGGUCAGUGCACAGUUUGGCAAAGUGCACCGAUCUUGCUGAAGGCGUUUCAAUUACGAUACAUGACAGAACCUUAGUCAUUCAAAACAUUUUCUUUUAUCAUUUUCGAUCUGUUAACACAAGUGAAAUAUAAACACUAAUCGUUUUUGGUGUUUAUGGUAGGAUUUCGCAAAGGCUGGAGACGAAUGGAUGACCAAACACGUGAAGAACCAAAUACUAUUAAACUGCUAUCUCUUUGGAACGUUAAUGGGAAGGUUGAAGCAUGAUCAUGCACGACAAAGCUUUCAAAUUUAAACUUUAAUAUUGAAAAAUGUAAAUCAAGUGUAAUAAUCCGUUAUGUCGGAUAGUCUGGUUAUCAGCUAACCCAGACUCAUAAGUUAUUUGUUUAAAAAAAACAAACUGGGACCAACUCGUUCGAAUAUGUAAGAUAUUCGGUAUAAUGGGAUAGAGUGUUAAUUGGCCGACACUGGUACCAACUACAAAAAUCACCCUUGGCAGUCCCAACUACUAACAUAUUGGCCUCCAAUGGACCCUGACUAUGGGAACCCUAACGCCGUUAGUCGCCCGUCUUCGGGAAAACAUUUUGGCUGAAAAAAGGUUUCUAAAGGUCUGAUUUAAUGUUACAAAGAGGUUUGGGACGAAAAUGUUGAGUUUUCCGACAAAAAAGAGUUUUUCCAGCGACCUCAAUAAUUGAGACUUUUACUUGAAAAAAGUUUCUAAAAGUCCGAUCAAAGGUUACAAAGAGGUUUAGGACGGAAAUGUUGAGUUUUUGGCUACCUUAAUAUUUGGGGAUUUUACUAGAAAAAGGUUCCUAAAGGUUCAAUUUAAGGUUUAUAGAGGUUUGGGACGAAAAGGUUGAGUUUUCAGGUCAAUAACAUUUUUCGGCGACAAAUGAUUAACGACGUUAGGGUUCCCUUAUUCAAGGUCCACUGGAGUGCAAUAUGUUAAUAGUUGGGACUAAUAGUGGUAAUUUUUGUAGUUAGAAUUGGUGGCGUCCAAUUAACAAUACUUGGAGAUUAUU